UGUCUUUAUGGCAAAUGUGAGAUGCAGUGUAUGGAAUGUCAAAUUUCUAGUAUGAGAAAUUAACGAUUUAAGUCCUUCUUAAAUGAGGCCAUUUACCCAAAGAGGGUGCCAGGCCCGUAUAACGUUAAUGAUUACUAGAUGACAUUUCCAAAGAGUCGUGUUGCUUGAUAGUGCAGCACUAAGUGGGUGGUAAACUCCAUCUAAAACUAAAUAUAACCAUGAGACCGAUAGUAAACAAGUACCGUGAGGGAAAGUUGAAAAGAACUCUGAAUAGAGAGUUAAAUAGUACGUGAAACUGCUUAGAGGUUAAGCCCGAUGAACCUGAAUAUCCUUUAUGGAAAAUUCAUCAUUAUGAUUUUAAUAUUUUAAUAAUAUUAUAAUAAUGGUGUGCAUUUUUUCCAUAUAUGGACAUUGUAAUCUAUUAAAUGCACAUUAUUUAUUAUAAGAUCAUUGCUUUAGUUUAUUCAAAUUAUUUUGCUUGCAAUUUAACAUAGAAUAAAUGCUUUUGAUUUAAUAAAGUGUUGAUAGAUUUAUUAUAUAUAGUGCUUGAAUAUAUCUAUAUUCUAUAAUGGCAUAUCGAUCAUUGAUCUUUAUGUUUUAAUUAUAUGCACUUAUAUGAUUAACAAUGCGAAAGAUUCAGGAUACCUUCGGGACCCGUCUUGAAACACGGACCAAGGAGUCUAACAUAUUUGCAAGUGAUUGGGAAUUAAAAACCUAAAAGCGAAAUUAACAUAACUUAUAUAAUGGGAUUAGUUUUUAGUACUAUUUUAUAGUCUAUUAAUUCAAUCCCGGGGCGUUCUAUCAGUUAUGUAUAAUAAUAUUUAUAUUAUUUAUACCUCUAACUAGAGCGUACCUUGAGCAUAUAUGCUGUGACCCGAAAGAUGGUGAACUAUACUUGAUCAGGUUGAAGUCAGGGGAAA
rnacentral:rRNA from 1 species